AACGAACGCUGGCGGCAGGCCUAACACAUGCAAGUCGAACGCUCGUAGCAAUACGAGAGUGGCAGACGGGUGAGUAACACGUGGGAACCUUCCCUAUGGUUCGGAAUAGCUCAGGGGAAACUUGGGGUAAUACCGGGAUAAGCCCUUCGGGGGAAAGAUUUAUCGCCAUUGGAUGGGCCCGCGUCGGAUUAGCUAGUUGGUGAGGUAACGGCUCACCAAGGCAACGAUCCGUAGCUGGUCUGAGAGGAUGAUCAGCCACACUGGGACUGAGACACGGCCCAGACUCCUACGGGAGGCAGCAGUGGGGAAUAUUGGACAAUGGGCGCAAGCCUGAUCCAGCCAUGCCGCGUGAGUGACGAAGGUCUUCGGAUUGUAAACUCUUUUGGCGGGACGAUAAUGACGGUACCGCAGAAUAAGCCCCGGCUAACUUCGUGCCAGCCGCCGCCGU
rnacentral:rRNA from 1 species